AUCGUGGACCCAAGUGAGAUUUUGAGCGUUCAAUUUCAUAUUGGGGGGCAGUUCAUGCACAUUGGUCCAAAUUUGAACUAUGUUGGGGGAGAAUAAGCCAUGUUAGAGAUUGAGAGGGAUUUGUCUCUGCAGGAAGUGAAAGGUUAUCUAACAGAUCAUAUUGAACUGAAGGAAUCUAUGAAGUUGUACUUUCUACUUCCUGGGAUAGAGCUUAUCAAUGGCUUGGUUUUCCUUCAUGCUGACAUUGGGUGUGUGAAGAUGGCUAACUAUAUUUGUGUUGGAGGAGUUGCUGAUGUGUAUGUGGAGUAUCAUGGAGAGGAAGAUAGCAAUGACAACAUUAGUGGGAGUGACUUUGAGGAUGAAAUAAUGGAACAAAGUGAUGAUGAACCAGAUGCAGUGAUAACUGUUGUUGAACCUGCAGAAUCUGAGCCUGAUGUUAUCAUUACGGAUGAAAGUGGUGUGAUCACACAGAGAAUUUGCAGCCCCAUCAAGCAGACAAGAGGCGAUGCAAGACAAGUAGAUGUUGAUCAUGAAAUGGCAGGAAUUGAAGGAGUUCUUUCUUAG
rnacentral:rRNA from 1 species